rnacentral:rRNA from 1 species
UACGUAGGGGCCGAGCGUUGUCCGGAGUUAUUGGGCGUAAAGCGCGCGCAGGCGGCUUCGCGCGCCCGACGUGAAAGCCCCCGGCUUAACCGGGGAGAGUCGUUGGGGACGGCGGAGCUUGAGGGCGGGAGAGGUCGGUGGAAUUCCCGGUGUAGUGGUGAAAUGCGUAGAGAUCGGGAGGAACACCUGUGGCGAAGGCGGCCAUCUGGGACAACACUGACGCUGAAGCACGAAAGCGUGGGGAGCAAACAGG